UUGAGGUCCUUAGUUGGAAGACUAAUAAGCCAAUUACCGUUUCAUUAAAACAUUUCUCUCGACUCAUGUUCUUGGGUAAGGCUCGAACCAACACCAACGGCAUGAAUUAAACAAGGAGCGACUGAAAGCCAUAAAAAAAUCCACGUAGGAGCUAAAGAUAAAUAACUAGAAAAGGAGAGGCAGAUAGGGGGAGAGGAGAAGGACUCUGGAAGGACUGUAGGACACCGCGGUCGGCCUGCAGAACGUGGCUAGGAUCGCUCGAGUGCACACCGUGGCUGGACGUGUCUUUGGAAAAGCCGUGGCUCCGGGCUUCGAGCCUUUUGCUUGCGUGGCCACUUUUUCUCUGAAUUAACAGACAAAAAAAAAAUGGUCACAUAUAAAGAUUACUGACAGCGCCAACAUACAUACUCUGUAUCCCCGCUCCUUUUACUGCCGAACGAACGAAUUAAAGUCAGAUCUAAAGCUGACGGUAGUACCUAUAUAAAAAAAACAACAACAACAACAACAAAAAACAAUCAGA
rnacentral:lncRNA from 1 species